AGCGUAUAUUAAAGUUGUUGCAGUUAAAAAGCUCGUAGUUGAAUUUCGGGAUCAAUACGUCGGUCGUGCUUCGGUACGUACUGGCGUCAUUGAUUUCUCCCUUCUGACGAACCAUGAUGUCAUUAACUUGGUGUCAUGGGAAAUCAGGACUGUUACUUUGAAAAAAUUAGAGUGUUUAAAGCAGGCUCACGCUUGAAUACAUUAGCAUGGAAUAAUGAAAUAGGACGUUCGAUCCUAUUUUGUUGGUUUUUAGGAUCAACGUAAUGAUUAAUAGGGAUAGUUGGGGGCAUUAGUAUUCAAUUGUCAGAGGUGAAAUUCUUGGAUUUAUUGAAGGCUAACUACUGCGAAAGCAUUUGCCAAGGAUGUUUUCAUUAAUCAAGAACGAAAGUUAGGGGAUCGAAGACGAUCAGAUACCGUCGUAGUCUUAACCAUAAACUAUGCCGACUAGGGAUCGGAUGAUGUUAAUUUUUUAAUGACUCAUUC
rnacentral:rRNA from 1 species